CCUACGGGUGGCAGCAGUGGGGAAUAUUGCACAAUGGGCGCAAGCCUGAUGCAGCCAUGCCGCGUGUGUGAAGAAGGCCUUCGGGUUGUAAAGCACUUUCAGCGGGGAGGAAGGCGGUGAGGUUAAUAACCUCAUCGAUUGACGUUAUCCGCAGAAGAAGCACCGGCUAACUCCGUGCCAGCAGCCGCGGUAAUACGGAGGGUGCAAGCGUUAAUCGGAAUUACUGGGCGUAAAGCGCACGCAGGCGGUCUGUCAAGUCGGAUGUGAAAUCCCCGGGCUCAACCUGGGAACUGCAUUCGAAACUGGCAGGCUAGAGUCGUGUAGAGGGGGGUAGAAUUCCAGGUGUAGCGGUGAAAUGCGUAGAGAUCUGGAGGAAUACCGGUGGCGAAGGCGGCCCCCUGGACAAAGACUGACGCUCAGGUGCGAAAGCGUGGGGAGCAAACAGGAUUAGAUACCCGGGUAGUC
rnacentral:rRNA from 1 species